AACGAACGCUGGCGGCAUGCCUAACACAUGCAAGUCGAACGAGACCUUCGGGUCUAGUGGCGCACGGGUGCGUAACGCGUGGGAACCUGCCCUUAGGUUCGGAAUAACUCCCCGAAAGGGGUGCUAAUACCGGAUAAUGUCUUCGGACCAAAGAUUUAUCGCCUUUGGAUGGGCCCGCGUUGGAUUAGCUAGUUGGUAGGGUAAAAGCCUACCAAGGCGACGAUCCAUAGCUUGUCUGAGAGGAUGAUCAGCCACACUGGGACUGAGACACGGCCCAGACUCCUACGGGAGGCAGCAGUGGGGAAUAUUGGACAAUGGGCGAAAGCCUGAUCCAGCAAUGCCGCGUGAGUGAUGAAGGCCUUAGGGUUGUAAAGCUCUUUUACCCGGGAUGAUAAUGACAGUACCGGGAGAAUAAGCUCCGGCUAACUCCGU
rnacentral:rRNA from 1 species